AUUCCAUGGUGAGGACAGGCCUGGAUGUACUCCUCGAGCAUCUCCCAUGUUUUGGGUAUGAACUCAAGAAAAGACUGCUAGAAGUUAGAGAUCUUCCCCCUCAGAGC
rnacentral:snoRNA from 1 species